GACGAGGGAUCCAAGCGUUGUUCGGAAUUAUUGGGCGUAAAGCGGGCGUAGGUGGCUCUAAAAGUUAGAUGUGAAAUCCCAAGGCUCAACCUUGGUCGUGCAUUUAAUACUGUAGAGCUUGAGUGCGAGAGAGGCUGUUAGAAUUCCUGGUGUAGUGGUGAAAUACGUAGAUAUCAGGAGGAAUACCGGUGGCGAAGGCGGACAGCUGGCUCGACACUGACACUCAUGCCCGAAAGCGUGGGGAUCAAACAGG
rnacentral:rRNA from 1 species